CCUACGGGGGGCAGCAGUGGGGAAUAUUGGACAAUGGGCGAAAGCCUGAUCCAGCCAUGCCGCGUGUGUGAAGAAGGCCUUCGGGUUGUAAAGCACUUUCAGUGGGGAAGAAAGCCUUGGGGCUAAUACCCUCGAGGAAGGACAUCACCCACAGAAGAAGCACCGGCUAACUCCGUGCCAGCAGCCGCGGUAAUACGGAGGGUGCGAGCGUUAAUCGGAAUUACUGGGCGUAAAGCGCGCGUAGGCGGUCUGAUAAGCCGGUUGGGAAAGCCCCGGGCUCAACCUGGGAACGGCAUCCGGAACUGUCAGGCUAGAGUGCAGGAGAGGAAGGUAGAAUUCCCGGUGUAGCGGUGAAAUGCGUAGAGAUCGGGAGGAAUACCAGUGGCGAAGGCGGCCUUCUGGACUGACACUGACGCUGAGGUGCGAAAGCGUGGGUAGCAAACAGGAUUAGAUACCCGAGUAGUC
rnacentral:rRNA from 1 species